GAUUAACGCUGGCGGCGUGCCUAAUACAUGCAAGUCGAGCGAACAGACUAGGAGCUUGUUCCUCUGACGUUAGCGGCGGACGGGUGAGUAACCCGUGGAGUACCUCCCUAUAAGACUGGGUUAACUUCGGGAAACCGCAGCUAAUACCGGGUAAUAUAUUGUAUCGCAUUGUUCAAUCGUGUACGACGGUGUUGCUGUUGAUUAUGGUGUAAUCCGAGCUGCAUUCGGUUUUUGGUAAGGUAACGGCUUACCAAGGCAACGAGGCGUAGCCGACCCGAGAGGGUGAGAGGCGACACCGGCACUGAGACACGGUCCAGACGAUUAGGAGAGGCAGCAGUAGGGAAUCUUCAGCAAUGGGAGAAGGCCUGAAGGAUCAACGACGCGUGAGAGAUGAAGGUAUCGGGAUCGUAAGACUCUGUAAUUAGUGAAGAACAAAUGUGUAAGUAAAUAUGCACGUCUUGACGGUACCAAAUCAGAAAGCCACGGCUAAUUACGUG
rnacentral:rRNA from 1 species